ACCCGGGUUGCGGACAGUGUCUGGUGGGUAGUUUGACUGGGGCGGUCUCCUCCUAAAGAGUAACGGAGGAGCACGAAGGUUGGCUAAUCCUGGUCGGACAUCAGGAGGUUAGUGCAAUGGCAUAAGCCAGCUUGACUGCGAGCGUGACGGCGCGAGCAGGUGCGAAAGCAGGUCAUAGUGAUCCGGUGGUUCUGAAUGGAAGGGCCAUCGCUCAACGGAUAAAAGGUACUCCGGGGAUAACAGGCUGAUACCGCCCAAGAGUUCAUAUCGACGGCGGUGUUUGGCACCUCGAUGUCGGCUCAUCACAUCCUGGGGCUGAAGUAGGUCCCAAGGGUAUGGCUGUUCGCCAUUUAAAGUGGUACGCGAGCUGGGUUUAGAACGUCGUGAGACAGUUCGGUCCCUAUCUGCCGUGGGCGCUGGAGAACUGAGGGGGGCUGCUCCUAGUACGAGAGGACCGGAGUGGACGCAUCACUGGUGUUCGGGUUGUCAUGCCAAUGGCACUGCCCGGUAGCUAAAUGCGGAAGAGAUAAGUGCUGAAAGCAUCUAAGCACGAAACUUGCCCCGAGAUGAGUUCUCCCUGAGACUUAGAGUCUCCUGAAGGAACGUUGAAGACGACGACGUUGAUAGGCCGGGUGUGUAAGCGCAGCGAUGCGUUGAGCUAACCGGUACUAAUGAACCGUGAGGCUUAACCUUACA
rnacentral:rRNA from 1 species